GACGAACGCUGGCGGCGUGCCUAAUACAUGCAAGUCGAACGCUGAAGGAGGAGCUUGCUCUUCUGGAUGAGUUGCGAACGGGUGAGUAACGCGUAGGUAACCUGCCUGGUAGCGGGGGAUAACUAUUGGAAACGAUAGCUAAUACCGCAUAACAGUAGAUGUUGCAUGACAUUUGCUUAAAAGGUGCAAUUGCACCACUACCAGAUGGACCUGCGUUGUAUUAGCUAGUUGGUGGGGUAACGGCUCACCAAGGCGACGAUACAUAGCCGACCUGAGAGGGGGAUCGGCCACACUGGGACUGGGACACGGCCCAGACUCCUACGGGAGGCAGCAGGAGGGAAUCUUCGGCAAUGGACGGAAGUCUGACCGAGCAACGCCGCGGGAGUGAAGAAGGUUUUCGGAUCGUAAAGCUCUGUUGUAAGAGAAGAACGAGUGUGAGAGUGGAAAGUUCACACUGUGACGGUAGCUUACCAGAAAGGGACGGCUAACUACGUG
rnacentral:rRNA from 1 species